GACGUAGGAUGCAAGCGUUGUCCGGAAUUAUUGGGCGUAAAGCGUUCGUAGGCGGCCUAUCAAGUCUGAUGUUAAAUCCCAGAGCUCAACUCUGGUUCAGCAUCGGAUACUGAUAAGCUAGAGUGCAGGAGAGGCAAGGGGAAUUCCUAGUGUAGCGGUGAAAUGCGUAGAUAUUAGGAGGAACACCGGUGGCGAAAGCGCCUUGCUGGACUGUAACUGACGCUGAGGGACGAAAGCCAGGGGAGCAAAUGGG
rnacentral:rRNA from 1 species